AAUGCAGCGACCGGUAUAUAUGAGCUAGGUAGAAAUCAUUGCCGAAGAGGUCUAUCCGUUUGCGUGUCGCUCUGAGCGAACGGGGGAGAUAGACUAGCAGCAUGUCCCGGAGACUGCCCAGGAUCGCAAGCAGGACAUCCUCCCAAUUAUCUGCAGAUGUAAUUGCUUCUCGGUAACCGGCCAGGAGCUCUAGGAAGCUGUCUUUUGGAUUUGGGAGGGACGAGUCACCUUCUAGCUGGGGGUCGGCGAGGACAAGGAGGCGGAAAGGUGCCGCCCGGGUGUACUUGGACAGAUCAAGGUGGGGGAUAUCGACAUGUUGGCGGAGAGUAUUUAGGAUUGGAAGAGGAGAAGAAAGGUUGCUCGAAGCACUCGGGGCUGUAGGGGGAAAAUUACAGCCAUGGAAUAUGGGGUACGAGUAGAGGUAGACUAUCGAUGUUAUCGAGAUAGGGAGGAGGUAGGAGAGAAGCUGGCGGAGGGUCGUCGGCAGGGACAUAGAGACGCACGCAUUAGGAGCUUUUGAUUUAUCUCCACUUAUAUUCAAAUUGUUCGUG
rnacentral:sRNA from 1 species